CAGAGAAACUAACAGGAUAGCUAGCUCUUCGGUAAGAUAAAGGCACCCCCAGCAAAUACAGUUACUGCUCACAUCAAGCCAACUGGCUGCGGGAACCCCUCCCUGAGCAGCCCAGAAUACUAGGCUUGCCUAUAUUCCUGUAAUUGAGUCCUGGGAAGCUGAUAAGUCUGCAAACACAUAUUCUCAGUGAUAAGCUCAGUCCACGUGUAAACCCAGAUUUGGGAGAGGAAUAGGGUAGGGCCGGUCGCACGCUUGACACUUCCUUUGGCUCCUUCCUCUGGUUCUCUGGCCAUGCCCCCAUCUAGUCCCUCUCCAUCUCACCCCAACUCCAGGAGUUGAUGGAAUCUGGGUCCCUAAUUAUUGCCCCAAGAGGCCCUCCGCGGUGGGGACUGUCCCCCUCGCAGCCAUCACUAAGACCCGGAGGCGUGGAAUUUCAAUUUGAAACUCCCGUGGCGCGUGAGGGCCGGCGCUGGGCAUGCUCAGUAGCUGCGGCGCGUCUGGGCUGCCGCUAGCUCUGCACUGGCUGCCGCGCUGCCUGCUCUGGGCUGGCGCGGGAGUCCACACGACUGUCACCGCUGCGGCUGCGGGGCUUCCAGCAGGCCAAACGUUCGGCGCCUCUGAGCGACUCGCCCCCGGCCCGCUCUGGUCCCCCUCAGCUGCCGCCUCCUACUCUUCUUCCUCUCCCCAUCUCUUCGGGAGGUGAAGCUGGUGCUUGUUUCUGUCGGCGCCACAGACCGCUCUGCAAACCUCAGACGAGGACCCUGAGAAGAAAUCCUGGAGACCAUAGGACCCUUGGCGGUGGCUCUUGAUCAUAGCACUUUGCCCGUAGUGGGGUCCGUGGCGGAGUUUCUCCUCCACCUCUCAAUGCAAACACUAUGCGGAGAGCAGUUGGCUUCCCUGCGCUGUGCCUGCUUCUUAAUCUUCACGCUGCAGGGUGCUUUUCAGGAAACAAUGAUCGCUUUUGGGCAAUUCAUCAGAAGAAGAGUGGGAAGCCGGUAUUCAUUUAUCACCGUUCACAAGAUAUUGAGAAGAGCCUGGAUAUAACUCCACAAAAGAUAUAUAAACAUAGCUAUCCUUCCUCUUCUGAGACUCAGAUAGGUAAACGCCACCACAUUGUUAAUUCAGCCUUUCCUAGACCUGCGUAUGACCCAUCUCUCAAUCUGUUGGCUGUGGCUGGUCAAGAUCUUGAAGUGGAAAAUCUACCAAUUCCAGCAGCAAAUGUAAUUGUGGUGGUGAGUAUCCAAGUCUUCCAAUCCCAGCAGCAUCAGGUUUAACUGAUAUUGAUGUUGUUGCUUUCCCUUGCGGUCGAUACUGGAAGAAAAAAAAUAAUUAUUGUAAAAACUUACCAUUGGAUCUCAAUGGUUAUUGACCAUAGCACUUCUCACUCUCUGAAAUUUCCUUUUUGUUACUUGAUUGUUGUCUGUUUUCUUCCUCCCAUGAAAUUAGAGAACUUGUCUGUAUCCUCAGCUCUUAGCACAAUGAAUGGUGCCUAGUAGGAGCCUAAUACAUAUUUGGAUUAAAAAUUACUUUAAAGAGGCUUUAAAUUACAACAGAUCACACCCUAUAUUGAACCUCUUGCUUCUGUAAAAUGUGUUCUGAAAUGACAGGCAUUAGUCUCAGUCCAUGUAAUAAAUAGUACUUAUUGAAGAUUCUUUAAGUCUUUUGACUCAACUCAUAGUGUUAUAAAAGGAGGACAGGUUUCUGUCACUAGUAAAUAAGAUGACUUAGGAAUAAAUGAUAGAUAAUAUUCUUAAUAUCACUGUGCAAACAUAUUAGGUGAUGCAAAGAUCUCAUUUCUUAUGUACUUCCAUAGCCCAGGUCAAAAAUUCCCAAUUUGUAGAGGUCUAACAGUUCAAAUACAUGCUAUGGUUGACACCUGUAUAGACUAUAAUCCCUCUCAAGUUUAAAAUCAUAACACGAAUGUUCAUAUAAAAACUAAAUAGCAGCUGAUCAUUAUGCAACAUAUACAUGAAUUGAAAUAUCACAUUGUGCUGGGUACAGUGACACAUGCCUGUAAUCCCAGCAGCUAGGGUGGCUGAGGCAGGAGGGUCGAGUUCAAAACCAGCCUCAGCAAAAAACAAGGCACUAGGCAACUCAGUGAGACCCUGUCUCUAAAUAAAAUACAAAAUAGGGCUGGUGGUAUAUGGCUCAGUGGUUGAGUGUCCCUGAGUUCAACCCCCAGUACCCCUCCAAAAAAAAAUCACAUUGUACCCCAUAUGUACUAUAAAAAUAAAAUAGUUACAGAAGGUCUUCUAAAUAAUUGUUGCAUUUCUGUCUAAAAAUAUAAUAAUGAGUUGACUUUUGAGGAAAAGAUAAGUUCAAGAAACUCUGCUUGCAUUUUGGCAACCUUUCUAUGUACCAAAUGUAAUUCAAUUUAACAUGCUCCAUUUUUCUUUAUUUUCUAUCUACUACAUAUAAUAUAAUACACUUAGUAUCAAAGAUCCAUUCUCUUAUGCUUGCCACUAAGAAAUAUUGAAUAUUUAUUUGAUACAGUUUUCCCUUGGGGUAUCUAAAAAUAAAAACAAGUUCCAAAGAGCCUUGGUUUUGCUUGAGAAAUGUCUGCAUGAAAUGUCAAUAAUUAAAAUAAUACAAACAAUCAUAAAUUGAAACAUGAGAUGAACUCUUUGUUAAGACAGAACAUGUGGGUUGUUUGGCCUCUUGAAAACUUGAACAUGUAUUUUAUAUUUCAUGAGUAGCAGAUGUUCUGAAGGUGAAAGUCACUGUCUAUUCAGUGAAGAUAAAUGAUGUUAAUGAUGUCUCUGUACCUGGAUAUCCCAGUUUUAAUGAUAGGGCCCAUGGGACAUAUUUCCUCUAGUGACCAUCAUAUACCCAUAGUCAUCAACUCUUAAAGUCACUGCGAAUUACAGUUCAAGAGGUUUGUUCUAUCUUGUAAUAUCAUGUAUUGUCUCAUUAAUUUAAUAUUAUGGACAAUAAAAGGCACCAACGAAGAAUUCUGACAGGUCAUUUCACUUUUAGCCUAUUUGUGGUUUGGAGAUUCAUGAAGAAGCUGUACUUUUUCUUUUGAGUGAUGAUUACACAGAUGCAAUAGGUAAUUUGGAUGCAU
rnacentral:lncRNA from 1 species